AAGGGUAAAUGCCUCCCAAGCCGAUGAUCAAAAGCCAUGUUUGAUAGAGCAGAUGGCCACAUUGGGUAUGAAAAGCCCCAAGUAGAAUUAUCUACCAGCAGUCAAGAAUAUUAGUCAAUGCUCGCAAGAGUGAACUAGCUAACUGAAAUCACAGGAUCCACUACGUGUGGUGAAUGUUAUAACGUAAGGGAAAAAAAUGAUAUUACCUUACUAUUAGUGUUGUCCAAAACUGGUGCCAGAAGACUCGGUAAGGCCAGAGACGCAAACGUUAGUCGUCCUAAUCAGGCGUAAAGGGUAAGUAGGCUGCUUUAAAAGUUUAGUAUAAUAUUUUAAUAGCUCUGUUUAAAUAAAUAAAUAUCAUUAAUUUAAACAGUAAAAUAUACAAAUGAAUUAAAGCUAGGAUCAAAUUGAGGAUAAUUUAAAUAAUACUUAGUGUAGGGUUUACAUCUGGUGAUACUAAGGGGAGUACUAACGGUGAAAGCUUUUUAUCUAGAAAUGAUUGACGCUGAGGAACGAAGGUGAGAAUAGGAAAUAGGAUUAGAUACCCAGAUACCUCUCACAGUCAACGAUGAAUGGUGGUUGUUAGUUAGUUUUAUUUAACUGAUAACGAUGUUAACACGAUAACCAUUCCGCCUUGCGAGUACGGUUGCAAAACUGAAACCAAAAAAAUUAGUCGGUCUCGAAGCAAACGAAGUGAAGCAUGUUAUUUAAUACGAUAAUACGCGUAAAAUCUUACCAGUCCUUGUAUAUCCAAUCUUUCUAAUGUAAAUUAGAGAUAUUGAGUAGUUUCUUUUUAAAAAUAAGAAAUUCGUU
rnacentral:rRNA from 1 species